rnacentral:rRNA from 1 species
CCUACGGGCGGCAGCAGUCGAGAAUCAUUCACAAUGGGGGAAACCCUGAUGGUGCGACGCCGCGUGGGGGAAUGAAGGUCUUCGGAUUGUAAACCCCUGUCAUGUGGGAGCAAAUUAAAAAGAUCGUACCACAAGAGGAAGAGACGGCUAACUCUGUGCCAGCAGCCGCGGUAAUACAGAGGUCUCAAGCGGGGUUCGGAAUCACUGGGCGUAAGGCGUGCGUAGGCUGUUUCGUAAGUCGUGUGUGAAAGGCGCGGGCUCAACCCGCGGACGGCACAUGAUACUGCGAGACGAGAGUAAGGGGGGGGGAAGCGGGAGUCGGGGGGGAGGAGUGAAAUGGGUAGA